AUAACAUUGACAAUCAGUUAAACUUUAAGCUUUAGCAAAAAUGAAAGUAUUUCAAAUAAUAGUUGUAGUGGCUUGUAUUAUUGCUGGCGUCACCUGUGAUCCUGGCUACCACGCACUAAGCUUAGGUGAUGGUAAUGUUCGAAUGAUUUCACAGUCACGUUAGAUGUUGGCGACAACUUUAAAUGACAAUUUUCAAACUUUAAAAAAAUUUCUAGUAAAUGGUUAAAACUCUGCUGAAUAAUGUUGUAGUGAAUAAAAGUACAUAAUUGGUAUUAAAGCAAA